AAUCUCAAGCAACUGCGAUUGCUACAGUAACGGCGAGUGAACUGGCAUUACACAUGGCUCAACCUGAACGAGAUCCCCCUGCACUGCCUAGGCAGGAGCAGUCGGCUAUUGUGGGUUUCAACAGAUGCUGUGGGUUACGGAGUGGUCAGCUUGCUGUGGGAUGGCUGUGAUGCCCUGAAGUGCCCUGGAAUGGCUCACAACAGAGGGAUACUGUCCCGUAGUCUUGAUGUGUGUCAUGGCCACCCAUGGUUUGUUGGCUACAUCCAUGAGUAGAGCGGCUUGGGACUGCAGUUUGAAGUGCGUGGUGUAUCCCACGCAAGGAGGAAUACCACCAUGGGACCGAUAGCGCACAAGUAGAGUGAUUGAAGGAUGCAAAGGACUUUGCAAAGAGGGUUAAAAGUCCCUGAAGCCUCAGCAGGAACGGCGGUGUGUGGCUCUGUAGCCUGGACUACCAGCCCAAUGCAGGUCUACUCGUCAGACUCUGUCUGAGGCCUUGCAGUGUGGUGCUGUGAGUUCCCAAACCAAGCGGCCUUGGGCCAGCCCAGUGCUGGCUGUUGAGCCUAUCACUCAAGUGGUGGAUGCAAUCACAGCAGUGCUUUGGUGGCAAACUGCCUGUCAGGGCCUGAGGUUGAGAGCAAUUGCAAAGGGCAUAUGGUCCCAGUCACACCAAACCCCUCUCGGGGCGUGUCAGGGAUGUAUGUAAACCCACUGUGCUGAACCUGGUGUGCCUAUGGGCAUGCCAGUCACUAGCGUCCAGCCAUGGUUGGGGCUGGCGGGUGUAUGGUGAUUGCACCACUCGGUGGUCACUGUGCUUCUGCUGGCCCCCCAGAUGGUGCGCAGUGCAGACUGAAGGCAGCAGAGCUUGGAUCAUCAGUGCCACUCACUGCCCGUCUUGAAACACGGACCAAGGAGUCUAUGGAGCUUGCAGGUUGGCAGGUGUUAUCAUGGAAAGCCGUCAAGGCGUGGUGAAGGCAAUGUCUCCCAGAUGUGAGCCUACUGCAAGGGACACCGGCCCCAAUGUCCAAUGGACUGGGUUUUGAGUGAAUGCAAGGUCCAUGGGACCCGAAAGGUGGUGAACUAUACCGUUCCAUGACGAAGCCAUGGGAAACUGUGGUGGAGGUCAGUAGCUGUUCUGACGUGCAAAUUGUGUAGCCUGAGUGUGGCAUAGGGGUGAAAGGCCAAUCGAGCCACCUAGUAGCUGGUUUCCCU
rnacentral:rRNA from 1 species